rnacentral:rRNA from 1 species
UACGGAAGGCAGCAGUGGGGAAUAUUGCACAAUGGGCGAAAGCCUGAUGCAGCUAUGCCGCGUGUAUGAAGAAGGCCUUAGGGUUGUAAAGUACUUUCAUCGGGGAGGAAAAAACAAAACUAAUAAUUUUAUUUCUUGACGUUACCCGAAAAAGAAGCACCGGCUAACUCCGUGCCAGCAGCCGCGGUAAUACGGAGGGUGCUAGCGUUAAUCAGAAUUACUGGGCGUAAAGAGCACGUAGGUGGUUUUUUAAGUCAGAUGUGAAAUCCCUGGGCUUAACCUAGGAACUGCAUUUUGAAACUGAAAUACUAGAGUAUCGUAGAGGGAGGUAGAAUUCUAGGUGUAGCGGUGAAAUGCGUAGAUAUCUGGAGGAAUACCUGUGGCGAAAGCGGCCUCCUAAACGAAUACUGACACUGAGGUGCGAAAGCGUGGGGAGCAAACAGGGAUUUAGAUACCCGU